rnacentral:rRNA from 1 species
GACCAAAAAUCCAGCCUGAAACUUUUUAUACACAACCAACACCAAACUUUUAAAAUAAAACAUUUUGACUUUGUAGUAGAGGCGAUCGAAAAAUACAUAAGCGCUUAAGAAAUAGUACCGAGAGGGAAAAAUGAAAUAGAAAUGAAAUAAAUUUAAGCCAAAUAAAGCAGA